CCUACGGGAGGCAGCAGUGAGGAAUAUUGGUCAAUGGACGCAAGCCUGAACCAGCCAUGCCGCGUGCAGGAAGACGGCCCUAUGAGUUGUAAACUGCUUUUGUAUGGGGGUAAAUUGCGAUACGUGUAUCGGUUUGAAAGUAUCAUAUGAAUAAGGAUCGGCUAACUCCGUGCCAGCAGCCGCGGUUAUACGGAGGUUCCAAGCGUUAUCCGGAUUUAUUGGGUUUAAAGGGUGCGCAGGCGGAGGUGAAAGUCAGCGGUAAAAUUGUGGGGCUAAACCGCGAACUGCAGUUGAAACUGGAACCCUUGAGUGCGCGAGAGGUAGGCGGAAUGCGUGGUGUAGCGGUGAAAUGCAUAGAUAUCACGAAGAACUCCGAUUGCGAAGGCAGCCUACUGGAGCGUAACUGACGCUGAUGCACGAAAGCGUGGGUAUCGAACAGGAUUAGAUAUCCUGGUAGUC
rnacentral:rRNA from 1 species